rnacentral:lncRNA from 1 species
AUAUCAAAUCCAAUCAGAGUCGAACUGAAUCUAAUUCAAGUAGACUUGAUCCAAAGCUCUUUACUCAAUCAAAUUGAGUCAAUUAGUAAUCCAAUUACUAAUUAAUUCUCUAUUAAUAGUAGAGUCUCAAUCCUAGUAGGACUUUCCUUCAGAGUCCCAGUCCCAAUGGUACUCCUCACCAGAGUCACAAUCUAAUUGGACCCUUCAGCCAUC